rnacentral:rRNA from 1 species
GACUUAAGCGGUAGCACAGAGAGCUUGCUCUCGGGUGACGAGCGGCGGACGGGUGAGUAAUGUCUGGGAAACUGCCUGAUGGAGGGGGAUAACUACUGGAAACGGUAGCUAAUACCGCAUAAUGUCGCAAGACCAAAGUGGGGGACCUUCGGGCCUCAUGCCAUCAGAUGUGCCCAGAUGGGAUUAGCUAGUAGGUGGGGUAACGGCUCACCUAGGCGACGAUCCCUAGCUGGUCUGAGAGGAUGACCAGCCACACUGGAACUGAGACACGGUCCAGACUCCUACGGGAGGCAGCAGUGGGGAAUAUUGCACAAUGGGCGCAAGCCUGAUGCAGCCAUGCCGCGUGUGUGAAGAAGGCCUUCGGGUUGUAAAGCACUUUCAGCGGGGAGGAAGGCGUUGAGGUUAAGGCAUACCUUGUCGAUUGACGUUACCCGCAGAAGAAGCACCGGCUAACUCCGUGCCAGCAGCCGCGGUAAUACGGAGGGUGCAAGCGUUAAUCGGAAUUACUGGGCGUAAAGCGCACGCAGGCGGUCUGUCAAGUCGGAUGUGAAAUCCCCGGGCUCAACCUGGGAACUGCAUUCGAAACUGGCAGGCUAGAGUCUUGUAGAGGGGGGUAGAAUUCCAGGUGUAGCGGUGAAAUGCGUAGAGAUCUGGAGGAAUACCGGUGGCGAAGGCGGCCCCCUGGACAAAGACUGACGCUCAGGUGCGAAAGCGUGGGGAGCAAACAGGAUUAGAUACCCUGGUAGUCCACGCCGUAAACGAUGUCGAUUUGGAGGUUGUGCCCUUGAGGCGUGGCUUCCGGAGCUAACGCGUUAAAUCGACCGCCUGGGGAGUACGGCCGCAAGGUUAAAACUCAAAUGAAUUGACGGGGGCCCGCACAAGCGGUGGAGCAUGUGGUUUAAUUCGAUGCAACGCGAAGAACCUUACCUGGUCUUGACAUCCACAGAACUUUCCAGAGAUGGAUUGGUGCCUUCGGGAACUGUGAGACAGGUGCUGCAUGGCUGUCGUCAGCUCGGGAACUGAAAUGUUGGGUUAAGUCCCGCAACGAGCGCAACCCUUAUCCUUUGUUGCCAGCGGUUCGGCCGGGAACUCAAAGGAGACUGCCAGUGAUAAACUGGAGGAAGGUGGGGAUGACGUCAAGUCAUCAUGGCCCUUACGACCAGGGCUACACACGUGCUACAAUGGCAUAUACAAAGAGAAGCGACCUCGCGAGAGCAAGCGGACCUCAUAAAGUAUGUCGUAGUCCGGAUUGGAGUCUGCAACUCGACUCCAUGAAGUCGGAAUCGCUAGUAAUCGUAGAUCAGAAUGCUACGGUGAAUACGUUCCCGGGCCUUGUACACACCGCCCGUCACACCAUGGGAGUGGGUUGCAAAAGAAGUAGGUAGCUUAACCUUCGGGAGGGCGCUUUA